rnacentral:rRNA from 1 species
GACGAACGCUGGCGGCGUGCUUAACACAUGCAAGUCGAGCGGAGCGGCGAACGCGUGAGUAACGCGUGAGUAACUGCCCCCCCCUUUGGGAUCACAGUUGGAAACGGCUGCUAAUACCGGAUAGUGGGGGAUGACUCGCGGCCUAUUAGCUGGUGGGUGGGGUAGUGGCCUACCAAGGCGACGACGGGUAGCCGGCCGGAGAGGGGGACCGGCCACAUUGGGCUGAGAUACGGACCAAACUCCUACGGGAGGAAGCAGUGGGGAAUAUUGCACAAUGGGGGAAAGCCUGAUGCAGCAACGCCGCGUGCGGGAUGACGGCCUUCGGGUUGUAAACCGCUUUCAGCGAUGACGCGGUAGUGGCAGAAGAAGCACCGGCUAACUACGUGCCAGCAGCCGCGGUAAUUC